AUUGAACGCUGGCGGCAGGCCUAACACAUGCAAGUCGAACGAGUGGCGGACGGGUGAGUAAUGUAUGGGGAACUGCCUGAUGGAGGGGGAUAACUACUGGAAACGGUAGCUAAUACCGCAUACUAUCGGAUGACCCCAGAUGGGAUUAGCUAGUAGGUGGGGUAAAGGCUCACCUAGGCGACGAUCCCUAGCUGGUCUGAGAGGAUGACCAGCCAAACUGGGACGGAGACACGGUCCAGACUCCUACGUGAGGCAGCAGUGGGGAAUAUUGCACAAUGGGCGCAAGCCUGAUGCAGCCAUGCCGCGUGUAUGAAGAAGGCCUUAGGGUUGUAAAGUACUUUCAGCGGGGAGGCGUUACCCGCAGAAGAAGCACCGGCUAACUCCGUGCCAGCAGCCGCGGUAAUAC
rnacentral:rRNA from 1 species